rnacentral:rRNA from 1 species
CCCUUAGAGUUUGAUCCUGGCUCAGAACGAACGUUGGCGGCAUGGAUUAGGCAUGCAAGUCGGGGGAAUCUCCCGCAAGGGAGGGAACCGGCGUAAGGGGCAGUAAGGCAUGGGUACCUACCCCGGGGUUCGGGAUAGCCACCAGAGAUGGUGGGUAAUACCGGAUGACCUCGUGAGAGCAAAGAUUUAUCGCCCUGGGAGGGGCCCAUGUGAUAUUAGCUAGUUGGUGGGGUAACGGCCCACCAAGGCGAAGAUGUCUAGCGGGUGUGAGAGCACGACCCGCGCCACUCGCACUGAGACACUGGCGAGACACCUACGGGUGGCUGCAGUCGAGGAUCUUCGGCAAUGGGCGAAAGCCUGACCGAGCGAUGCCGCGUGCGCGAUGAAGGCCUUCGGGUUGUAAAGCGCGAAAGAGGGGAGAAAAGCCCGAAAGGGCCUGAUCUAUCCUCAGUAAGCUCGGGCUAAGUUCGUGCCAGCAGCCGCGGUAAGACGAACCGAGCGAACGUUGUUCGGAAUCACUGGGCUUAAAGGGCGCGUAGGCGGGCUGUCAAGUCUGGGGUGAAAUCCCGCGGCUCAACCGUGGAACUGCCUCAGAUACUGACGGUCUCGAGGGGGAUAGGGGCGAGCGGAACUGUGAGUGGAGCGGUGAAAUGCGUUGAUAUUCACAGGAACUCCGGUG